GGAACUCAACUUGAAACUAUAUAAAGGUUGUGCAAAUUGCAACUGCAUCCUUCAACUUCUAAUUCAAAAUCAUACUAUAUCAAAUAACAGCGAGAUCUCCCUGUGUUUCCAGUUUUUCAGCAACGGUUAGUCAUCUCCAAGCUUCUGGGUUUGAUACGAUCCUCACCCCAUUUUGCUAGGAAAAGGGUGUACUUGAGAGCUUCUACUCUUGUAUUCCAUAUUGGAAAAGGGUGUACUUGAGAGCUUCUACUCUUGUAUUCCAAUUGGUACAGUUGAAACUCCUCCUUCCUCAACCUUUUCCGCAUCAUUAUUUUUCAAAAGCCUGCAAAGUCUCUCUUCUUUUUUGCCUGAUUGUCAAGGAGCUUGUUGCGAUGGCAUAUGGAGUUGCUGACUUUCCAACGGGUAAAAAAGGAGGAAACUUACCAAAGCGAGGGCAGAUAAAAGCCAGGAUUAUGAGAAUGCUGUUCAAGUCACUCGUCAGCCUAGCUUCCAAGGCAGCAGGAAGGGGAGGAAGAUGGUGAGAAAGAUAGUGAAGGAAAUCCGCCUCCUGCAAAGCCACCUUAAGGUGGCUGUUCUUAGGAGAAAACUUGAAGAUAUGAGUGAUUCAAAGGUUCAUCCACCAGUUCAUAUAAAGCUUUUUGUAAUCUAUAGAGCUGCGAUGCCUUCGAUUCUGCUCUAUUAAGCCAAUGAAAGUGAAGGAUAAUGCAAAGGAAGGCAAUUUUUUCAUAUGUUUAAUUUCAGGUAUUAUGGGUUUUAAGAUAGAGGCUGGAUCCUUCCAUUCUCUCAAGUACCUUAGCUAUGUUUGUGCGAUAUGUAAACCUUGAUAUGAAUGCAAAUCUGAGCUAGAAAUGUGAUUUUGGAUGAAUUGUGAAUGGCUGAGAUAUUUAACACCUGGGAGCCUUUUUUCUUUUUUUUUUUUAGCCUGUGAAGUGAUGAAAAUAAAGUGUGGGGUGAUCGAAUUUCUUGCUUCUAUGUUCUUGCUAAAUUGAAAAUUACACGAUGCAGUCAGUUGCUCUACCACGAUUUUUUCGAAAAAGAAGGCUUCAACUUCCUCAGUCCCCUUUAAGACCUGGCAUUCUCUCUUUAGUGGGGGAAUCUUUGC